rnacentral:rRNA from 1 species
UAUGAUCUCAAAUCAAGUGUGACUACCCGCUGAACUUAAGCAUAUCAGUAAGCGGAGGAAAAGAAACUAAAUAGGAUUCCCUUAGUAACGGCGAGUGAAAAAGGGC